CUGUGCCAUCACACACACUCCACCAGCACGAUGUGUUGGUGGAGUGGUAGCAGGAAGAUCAGUACUUGUUGUAUUAGCUACCUGUCAGGAAGAUUAGCCCGGAGAAUUCAGGUGGAGGUUGUUGUAGAAGUGCAGAUAGCAGUGUUUGGCAAGCAUCCCCACCGAGUGUCUCCCACACUCCUCUUGUCAGCCGACCUCUGCCGCAACCCUCAGGACGGAGCACCACUACGCAGCCACGCACAACACACUUGCAGGUAACUCAAGAUGGACGACGAAGGCUACCCUCUACUGCCGCCAGGAGCAAUGCUGCAGCCUGCCGAGGAUCAGGCAGAUUCCAUCGAUCAAGAGUACGGGGAGGCGACGGGCCGCAGGGUUGUUGUCCUUAGGAAGAGUCAGCCCAACACUAGACCAUCGUGGGCCGAGUACUCGUUUGCUCGCUCCCGUCUGCUGUACGGUUCCCUCCACCGCAGACCCGUGGCACAGCGCAUACCCAGCAUACCUCGGAACAUCACACUUCACCAUGAACUUCCCCGAGUGCCGCCUCUCUGGAGCCAAGAGCUGCCCUGUCUUGAUUGCCUGUGCGUGCCGCCGCGCAUCAACCCAGAAGGAACAGAUCCAGGGAAGGCUGUAUCUAAGGUACCCUUCAGAGUGCCACAGGCUCAUCCCAAGGCAAAGCCCAAGGAGAAGGAAGUCACAAUCAGUAUAUGGAGAGAGUUUUGCCGAGGACCGCUGGUGUACGAGGAUGCCAGCACUUCUUGGAACGACGUGAAGGACACGUGCCUGCUGUGGCCACACCUGCAGGCACUAUUUGGAAGCAAUGAUCUGAUGGUGCCGCUGUUCUGCGUGUGUCUGGUGCGGGUCGUGCUGCUCAUGCUGAAGGUGUUCGUACCUUGGAUCGGCCUUCAGCUGUCCUACUUCCACCUGUUGUACGUCCACAUCAAGAUCCACAUGACUGGGGAGAAGAGAGGCGUGCAGCCCGUGUUUGUGGGCCCGGCCAGCCAGGGCCCGAUCAUCUACAGCAUCAGGCACCUGUGGUGUCCCUACUGCAGGUACAACAAACAGUGCAAGAUUUAUUCAAGCUAUUUUGACAAAUUAUUGCGGGAAAGACAGAGCAUGGCCAUGACAUAGCAGGCUGUCUCUUCUGGCAUUAAAGAAUUUGUAGAAAAGAGCUUUUCCAUGUGGUUCAGAGUGACAAGCAUGACGGAUGUGCUGCGUCACGUCAUUAUCCUAGGAAGUGUGGCAGACUGACGUAAAUCCGAUUACAAGAAAAUUCUCGCCGGAUACGUUGAGGCGCUGAAUAGAUGACAAAAUGGAGGGCGCGGUGCACCGCCGUGUUUGGUGCAGGAUGGGGAGGAUUACCUUGAAUAUCUUGACUGUCAACCUCUCGCAUUUAUUGCAAUAAAUAGCGUGAAGGUGUGGUGGUGGUGGUGAUAGUCCAGAGUGAGUCCCGGCGCCGCCUCUGCCCGCUCCGCCGCAUGAGUGGGACGAGAUGGUGAGGCGGCACCGGCCUGGCACACUCAAAUUGUUCCAUCACUGUACAGUGCUGCAACACCGGAACACAAGCACUGCUAUGAUAAGUGAGCUGCAAGUGAUCGCUGUGCCUUUGUCCUCUGCGGCUACAAGUCUUCCCCCUUGGCGAGGCGUGGAGGCGGGGCGGUGGUGCUCGUGGUGUGGAGGGUGGGAGGCCUCCGCGUCCUUGGUGGUGAUCGUCGCGGCUGUUUGCACACGGAAGGACGACGAGCUAUUCAUGGAUACAGCCUCAGGUCUCUGCACGGGAGGGAUGGAGUUGCUCUUCUUACCGCGCGGCUUGCGAGGAUGGCCAGAGGAUGGCAGAAAGGGAUUUUAAACACCGGAUCUUUUCGUCAUAACUCGAUUAUAAGGAAAAGAAAAUAAGGGAAGCUGCAAAAGAUCCCAUCAGCUUCUCGAACAUACUUACCUAUUUCCACUGUCAUCCCCAUCCAUGAAUAUUUUUACUCGUCUUUUAAAGCUUCCUGAUGACUCUGAACUAAGUCUAAUUAUAUUGAGUCUAUCCCAUUCAUCUAGCAUUUACUGUCUGAGAACCCAUUUCUCACUGACUUCCAUAUCUUCGUAACAGAUGUGUGUGGUGUGACAGGGGGGAGGUGUGACAGAUUCAGCGUGGAUUCUGAAACGUGACGGUUACGAGAAUGGUGGUGGUGACGAGAUAUUAGAGGUUGCGUGUUUCUCUUCACCCGUCCUCUUCUCGUAUCUUUAUCGUCCUUGUAGUCCGUGUCCGUCGCCCGCAUGUCCUUUAUAAUGCCUUAUACUUAACUUCAUUUAAAUCAUAAUAUUGGAUAACACACAGCACCGGAGGUAGUUAAGUAACAAGAAUUUUUUUUUAUUAAGGCAGUACAGUAAAGCUUUGGUAACAAAAUACCGGUAUUUAGGUGGACAGGAGGCAGCGUCAGUGCUCGAUGAGACAGCCCUAUCACUUAUCAUUCAACCUGAAUAAACUGCCAGCAUGCUAAUAAGCGAGGCCCAGCUCUCUGUGUUGGUGAGGCUUGAGGACACGGACAUCCUUGGCCAGGUACACUGUGACGCCUUUCUGUUUUCUUUGGCCACUGGCGAGUGAGGCAGAGCUGUGCGGCACCAUGAUGACGAAGUGGCCUUCCCCCUGGGUGGCGCCGGGAAUUGGUAACCUGUACAUCAAGAAUGGGUCGUUCCUGAAGAAGCCAUAAGGCAAAGCGUUAGAUGAAACUUUCGUCUCUUCGGACACUAACGUUUCUACUUUAGGAGGCUCUGUCCCGCUGUUGACUUCAACCAGUACUUCAGUGGGCUCCCGAGGCACCGGAUCAGGAGCCGCGGGAGCGCUCGCUGGCGCAGGAUCUUCAGUAACUUUAGUAAGCACUUCCUGCAUGCUGUUAGCCUUUGGCGCCUGCACGGUGGAAGCAGGAGUGGCAAGUGGCAGAGGGUCAGGGAGGACAGGGGCAGGAGAGACAGGCUGUGGAAGAACUGAGGUGUGCUUCUCUACAACUGCCGUGAGAACAGACGGCGGUUUUGUAGCUAUUUCAACAGACGCCACUGUUUCCUUACUGGGUUCUUCACCGUUCGAUGGCAGAGAGUGGAGGUUGGACCCAGCCUGGAACCUGGCGGGUAAAUGCAA